UUCCAGACUCCUACGGGAGGCAGCAGUGGGGAAUAUUGCACAAUGGGGGAAACCCUGAUGCAGCGACGCCGCGUGAGCGAUGAAGUAUUUCGGUAUGUAAAGCUCUAUCAGCAGGGAAGAAGAUGACGGUACCUGACUAAGAAGCCCCGGCUAACUACGUGCCAGCAGCCGCGGUAAUACGUAGGGGGCAAGCGUUAUCCGGAUUUACUGGGUGUAAAGGGAGCGUAGACGGCGAUGCAAGCCAGAUGUGAAAGCCCGGGGCUCAACCCCAGGACUGCAUUUGGAACUGUGUGGCUGGAGUGUCGGAGAGGCAGGCGGAAUUCCUAGUGUAGCGGUGAAAUGCGUAGAUAUUAGGAGGAACACCAGUGGCGAAGGCGGCCUGCUGGACGAUGACUGACGUUGAGGCUCGAAAGCGUGGGGAGCAAACAGGAUUAGAUACCCUUGUA
rnacentral:rRNA from 1 species